AGGACUGUAGUUAAAAUAACAUUUGAUUUGCACUCAAAAGAUAUUGAUUAAUCAAUCUGUCUUG
rnacentral:tRNA from 3 species